rnacentral:rRNA from 1 species
UACGUAGGGUGCGAGCGUUAAUCGGAAUUACUGGGCGUAAAGUGUGCGCAGGCGGCGCCGCAAGUCGAGUGUGAAAGCCCCGGGCUUAACUUGGGAAUUGCGCUCGAAACUAUGGUGCUGGAGUGUGGCAGAGGAAGGUGGAAUUCCACGUGUAGCGGUGAAAUGCGUUGAUAUCAUCUGGAAUACCGGAGGCGAAGGCGGCUCACUGGGGGUUUUCUGACGCUGAGGAACGGAAACGCCAGGGUAGCGAACGGG